AGUGGGGAAUAUUGCGCAAUGGGCGAAAGCCUGACGCAGCGACGCCGCGUGGGGGAUGAAGGCCUUCGGGUUGUAAACCUCUUUCAGCGCCGAAGAAGCGAAAGUGACGGUAGGCGCAGAAGAAGCACCGGCUAACUACGUGCCAGCAGCCGCGGUAAUACGUAGGGUGCAAGCGUUGUCCGGAAUUAUUGGGCGUAAAGAGCUCGUAGGCGGUCAGUCGCGUCUGCUGUGAAAACUCGGGGCUUAACUCCGGGCCUGCAGUGGGUACGGGCUGACUAGAGUGCGGUAGGGGAGACUGGAAUUCCUGGUGUAGCGGUGAAAUGCGCAGAUAUCAGGAGGAACACCGGUGGCGAAGGCGGGUCUCUGGGCCGUAACUGACGCUGAGGAGCGAAAGCGUGGGGAGCGAA
rnacentral:rRNA from 1 species